rnacentral:miRNA from 1 species
AGGGGGCGAGACUCAAGCACUGGC